GGGUUGUGAGGUUAAGCGACUAAGCGUACACGGUGGAUGCCCUGGCAGUCAGAGGCGAUGAAGGACGUGCUAAUCUGCGAUAAGCGUCGGUAAGGUGAUAUGAACCGUUAUAACCGGCGAUUUCCGAAUGGGGAAACCCAGUGUGAUUCGUCACACUAUCAUUAACUGAAUCCAUAGGUUAAUGAGGCGAACCGGGGGAACUGAAACAUCUAAGUACCCCGAGGAAAAGAAAUCAACCGAGAUUCCCCCAGUAGCGGCGAGCGAACGGGGAGCAGCCCAGAGCCUGAAUCAGUGUGUGUGUUAGUGGAAGCGUCUGGAAAGGCGCGCGAUACAGGGUGACAGCCCCGUACACAAAAAUGCACAUGCUGUGAGCUCGAUGAGUAGGGCGGGACACGUGGUAUCCUGUCUGAAUAUGGGGGGACCAUCCUCCAAGGCUAAAUACUCCUGACUGACCGAUAGUGAACCAGUACCGUGAGGGAAAGGCGAAAAGAACCCCGGCGAGGGGAGUGAAAAAGAACCUGAAACCGUGUACGUACAAGCAGUGGGAGCACGCUUAGGCGUGUGACUGCGUACCUUUUGUAUAAUGGGUCAGCGACUUAUAUUCUGUAGCAAGGUUAACCGAAUAGGGGAGCCGAAGGGAAACCGAGUCUUAACUGGGCGUUAAGUUGCAGGGUAUAGACCCGAAACCCGGUGAUCUAGCCAUGGGCAGGUUGAAGGUUGGGUAACACUAACUGGAGGACCGAACCGACUAAUGUUGAAAAAUUAGCGGAUGACUUGUGGCUGGGGGUGAAAGGCCAAUCAAACCGGGAGAUAGCUGGUUCUCCCCGAAAGCUAUUUAGGUAGCGCCUCGUGAAUUCAUCUCCGGGGGUAGAGCACUGUUUCGGCAAGGGGGUCAUCCCGACUUACCAACCCGAUGCAAACUGCGAAUACCGGAGAAUGUUAUCACGGGAGACACACGGCGGGUGCUAACGUCCGUCGUGAAGAGGGAAACAACCCAGACCGCCAGCUAAGGUCCCAAAGUCAUGGUUAAGUGGGAAACGAUGUGGGAAGGCCCAGACAGCCAGGAUGUUGGCUUAGAAGCAGCCAUCAUUUAAAGAAAGCGUAAUAGCUCACUGGUCGAGUCGGCCUGCGCGGAAGAUGUAACGGGGCUAAACCAUGCACCGAAGCUGCGGCAGCGACGCUGAUGCGUUGUUGGGUAGGGGAGCGUUCUGUAAGCCUGCGAAGGUGUGCUGUGAGGCAUGCUGGAGGUAUCAGAAGUGCGAAUGCUGACAUAAGUAACGAUAAAGCGGGUGAAAAGCCCGCUCGCCGGAAGACCAAGGGUUCCUGUCCAACGUUAAUCGGGGCAGGGUGAGUCGACCCCUA
rnacentral:rRNA from 1 species